CAAUUAGGAAUCUUGCGCAAUGGGCGAAAGCCUGACGCAGCGACGCCGCGUGAGCGAUGAAGUCUUUCGGGAUGUAAAGCUCUGUCCUGUGGGGAAGAAGAAUGUGACGGUACCCGCAGAGAAAGCCCCGGCUAACUACGUGCCAGCAGCCGCGGUAAUACGUAGGGGGCGAGCGUUGUCCGAAUUUACUGGGCGUAAAGCGCGUGUAGGCGGUUCUUUAAGUCAAGUGUGAAAUCCUGUGGCUCAACCACAGAACUGCACUUGAAACUGAAGGGCUUGAGUGUGGGAGAGGAAAGUGGAAUUCCUGGUGUAGCGGUGAAAUGCGUAGAUAUCAGGAGGAACACCCGUGGCGAAGGCGGCUUUCUGGCCCACCACUGACGCUGAGACGCGAAAGCUAGGGGAGCGAACGGGAUUAGAUACCCCGGUAGUCCUAGCCGUAAACGAUGGAUACUAGGUGUUAGAGGUAUCGACCCCUCUAGUGCCGUAGCUAACGCAUUAAGUAUCCCG
rnacentral:rRNA from 1 species